rnacentral:rRNA from 1 species
GACGAACGCUGGCGGCGUGCUUAACACAUGCAAGUCGAACGGACAGGCCCUGCUUUUGUGGGGUGCUCGAGUGGCGAAGGGGUGAGUAACACGUGAGUAAACUGCCCUUGAAUUUGGGAUAACUUCAGGAAAAUGGGGCUAAAACCGGGUAGGAGAUACUGCUGCAUGGGGGGGGUUGGAAAGUUUCGGCGGUUUGGGCUCGACUCGCGGCUUAUCAGCUUGUUGGUGGGGUAGGGGCUUACCAAGGCUUUGACGGGUAGCCGGCCUGGGAGGGUGACCGGCCACAUUGGGACUGAGAGACGGCCCAGACGCCUACGGGAGGCAGCAGUGGGGAAUAUUGCACAAUGGGCGGAAGUCUGAGGCAGCAACGCCGCGUGCGUGAUGACGGCCUUCGGGUUGUAAACCGCUUUCGCCGGUGAUGAAGAGGGAGUGACGGUAAUGGGUAAAGAAGCACCGGCUAACUACGUG